UACGGAGGGUGCAAGCGUUAUCCGGAUUUACUGGGUUUAAAGGGUGCGCAGGCGGAUAUGUAAGUCAGUGGUGAAAUCUCCGGGCUUAACCCGGAAACUGCCGUUGAUACUAUAUAUCUUGAAUGCUGUGGAGGUAAGCAGAAUAUGUCAUGUAGCGGUGAAAUGCUUAGAGAUGACAUAGAACACCCAUUGCGAAGGCAGCUAACUACGCGAUCAUUGACGCUGAUGCACGAAAGCGUGGGGAGCAAACAGG
rnacentral:rRNA from 1 species